GACGAACCGUGCGAACGUUGUUCGGAUUCACUGGGCUUAAAGGGCGCGUAGGCGGUCGGCCAAGUCUGGGGUGAAAUCUUUCGGCUCAACCGGAAAAGUGCCCCCGAUACUGGCCGUCUAGAGGGAGGUAGGGGCAUGUGGAACUUCCGGUGGAGCGGUGAAAUGCGUAGAUAUCGGAAGGAACGCCGGUGGCGAAAGCGACGUGCUGGACCUCAUCUGACGCUGAGGCGCGAAAGCCAGGGGAGCAAACGGG
rnacentral:rRNA from 1 species